ACAUAAGCGAGCAAGUUAGAAACUCACCGAAAAAGAUUUAAAAAAAAAAGUAAUUUAAUCAUACGGCAAUCGCUUUUAUCAACUCUCUGGAAAGAGACACAAUAAAAAUCAUAAAAACUCUCGAAAUUAUAAAACUACGAACUCUGCACAACCCAGCUGCAAGAGUUAGUAAAAAAAGACAAUAAAUCAAAUAAUCACCUGCAGUUUUAUUGCAAUAAUUGUUACUUAAAGUUGCAAACACUUAUAAA